UGGCUUCCCUCCCUCCCUGCCGGCCCGACUCGCCUCGACUCGACUGCCGCUCAUCACCUCUGCGCAGCCUCGGAGGCCGCGCGGCACCUGGCCGCAGCAGCUGUGAGGCGGUUUUCUUUCUUCUCUCUCUCUUUUUUUUUUUAGUAAUACUUUUUUUUCUUUCUUUCUUUCUUUAAGAAGAGCAGCCUCUCACAGCUUCCUGCGGUGCUUCAGCCGUCGGCUGAGGAGCGUAAAGGCGGCAGGGGAGGAGGUGAGGGGGGGAGGCGCGGGGCCGCCUCAGGUGGCGGCGUGCUCCAUCUGCACAACAUGGCGGGCGCGGGGCCGUUCGCGGCGGCGCUGACCGCGCUGCAGGGCUGCUACGCCGAGGCCGCCCCGCUGGAGACCUUUAUCCAGCGGCUGCGGGAGAGUGGCGCCGGCGAAGCGGAGGUGCUGCAGGCCGACGACGCCCCGUGCUACCGGACCUUCGUGGCGCAGUGCGUGGUGUGCGUCCCCCGCGGAGCCCGCUCCAUCCCUCGGCCCUUUACCUUCCAGCAGUUAUCUAGUCAGAGUGAAGUCAUCACAAGAGUUAUUCAGAGACUAUGUGAAAAAAGAAAGAAGAAUGUCCUUGCAUAUGGAUAUUCCUUACUGGAUGAAAACAGUUCUCAUUUCCGAAUCAUGCCAUCUUCAAAUAUAUGCAGCUACCUACCCAAUACUGCAACGGAAACUCUUCGUAUCAGCGGCCUCUGGGAAACAUUACUGAGCAGGAUAGGGGAUGAUGUGAUGAUGUAUUUAUUGGAACACUGUGCAAUCUUUAUGCUGGUUCCCCCUAGUAGUUGUUAUCAAGUUUGUGGGCAACCCAUUUAUGAACUUAUUUCAAAUAAUGUAGAAUCCUCUCCAUUGUUUGUUAAACAAAGAUAUUCAAAGCACAGACGUAAUGCCUUGUUUGACUAUAUGCAAAAAAGGCUUAUGUUUCAUAAAAAGCAUCUUUCAAAAUCUCACUGGUGGAAAUGCAAACGAAGACCCGAAGCUCAAGUUUCCAGCAGGGGAAAUCAGAAAACCAACAAAAUGCAAUGCUUAGUGUCUGGUUUGGCGUAUUCUGCUAAAGAUAAUUUUAAAGCAAGUGAACAAAUUGGAAUGGUAACUGAACAUCUGGAAAAUCAGAUUAGCCCAGGUUUAUCUUCGUCAGCUACAGCCCUGUCUUUGAAAAGGAAGCUUGGUAGGGAACAACUUAAAAUCACAGCUAAGAGAGCAAAAGUAGAUGAGAAAGCACUAGAGAAAGAGGCAUGGAAUCACAGUCCUGGCAUAAACCAAAGUAAUUCCAAGAGAUAUGGGUAUGUAGCAUCGCAUUCUGUAAAUCUUGCUAAAGAAAAGUACAUUUCUAAAGGAAGUGACAGUGAUAUGUCUGGUCCUUCUUUAGUUCACAAGUCUUAUGAUGGGAAGGAGAAAUUUUCAGUUAAAAAAACAUUUCUGCAAGGAGCUCAAAGUAACAAACCUCUUAAGUCUAGCACUGAAAUGCAAGCAGAAUCCAAUAGAAACGGAGUAGAGACGCAUACGUAUAAAUCUCAGGUGGAUUCUGUACAGAUGAAACCAAUGGAAGGUAUUUCUUCAAAAUACAGAAGGCUGGAAAGUCCCCUGGAUCAUUUGGGAAAGAAAUUGCCAAAUACGGUCUUGCAUUCUGGAGUGUACAUUGAGAGGAAGUCUCUUCUGUAUUCUCGCUGGAGUUUCAAAGAAUGUUUUCCUAAAUGGUUUUUACUGAAUCGCUUGAAGGGUUGUCAGGCAAGUGGAAGACGGCUUGUAGAAACUAUAUUCUUAAGCCAAAAUCUGUUGGAGCAAAAACGCAAUCAAAGUCUGCCACAUCACAACUGGAGAAAGAAACGGUUGCCCAAACGCUACUGGCAGAUGAGAAAUAUAUUUCAGAAAUUGGUGAAGAACCAUGGAAAGUGUCCUUAUUCAUUUUUACUGAAAAAAAAUUGCCCCAUUGGGAUUUCCGAGGCCAAUGUGGGAAAAGCUGACCUGCCUCCUCAGUCAGCGUUACCUGAGGGAGCAGAGGUUCACAAGCAAGUAGAAGAGUUUGGGAAAGAGUCUGCUAAGCGCACGACAAGCAGCAGCCAGAAAGGUGGUCGCGCUGAUGUGCCAAAUGAUUUAUGCACUCCUCUUCCAAAAUCUCUGUGUGGGAAGUCAAAGAUCGAGGAGCAAAAUCCUGGAGAGGUGUGCGAUUCAGCCAUCAGGGAGCUUCUCAAGCAGCACAGCAGCCACUGGCAGGUGUAUGUCUUUGUGCGGCAGUGUCUGGAGCGAGUGAUCCCUGCAGAGCUGUGGGGUUCAAACCAUAACAAAUGCCGGUUCUUAAAAAAUGUGAGAGCCUUCAUUUCCAUGGGGAAGUUUGAUAAGCUUUCAUUGCGAGAGUUGAUGUGGAAGAUGAGAGUGAAUGACUGCGUGUGGCUUCGUCUAGUCAAAGGUGAUCACUUUGUUCCUGCCUAUGAACAUUGUUUCCGUGAAGAACUUUUGGCUAAAUUCCUAUACUGGCUGAUGGAUACCUAUGUUGUUGAGUUGCUCAGAUCAUUUUUCUAUAUCACCGAGACCAUGUUCCAGAAAAACAUGCUUUUCUACUACCGAAAGCUUAUUUGGGGCAAGUUACAGAACAUUGGAAUUAGAAACCAUUUUGCCAAAGUACAUCUACGUGCUUUAUCUUCAGAGGAGUUUGAAGCUAUCCAUCAAAAAAAAAAUGUUCCUAUGGCAUCAAGGCUCCGGUUCAUUCCCAAACCAAAUGGGUUAAGACCCAUAGUAAAAGUGAGCAGUGUUGUUGAAGCAAGAGCAUUCAGCAAGGAAAGCAGAGAAAAGAAGGUUCAUCACUACAAUACUCAACUGAAAAAUCUAUUUAGUGUCUUAAAUUACGAACGGACUAUAAACACCAGUUUCCUGGGCUCAUCAGUGUUUGGGAAAGAUGAUAUCUUCAAGAUAUGGAAGAAGUUUGUUACAAAGGUUCUUCAAUCAGAUGGUGAAAUUCCUCAUUUCUAUUAUGUCAAGGCUGAUGUGUCCAGGGCUUAUGAUACCAUUCCUCACAAUAAACUUGUGGAAGUGAUUUCACAGAUCUUAAAACCUGAGAAAAGAACAGUCUACUGCAUACGUCGCUAUGCAGUGAUUAAGAUUACCGCAAGUGGAAAAGCCAGGAAGUUCUAUAAGAGACACGUUUCUACUUUCAACGACUUUAUGCCAGACAUGAAACAGUUUGUGUCCCAACUUCAGGAGAGUGACUCGUUGCAAAAUGCAAUAGUAGUUGAACAGAGCUUAUCUUUUAAUGAGACAAGUUCCAGCCUGUUUACUUUUUUUCUGCAAAUGUUACAUAACAACAUCCUGGAGAUUGGACGCAGGUACUACCUACAGUGCUGUGGAAUUCCACAAGGCUCCAUUUUGUCAACCCUACUUUGCAGCUUAUGCUAUGGAGACAUGGAAAACAAAUUGCUCUGUGGCAUACAGCAAGAUGGAGUCCUGAUACGUCUAAUUGAUGACUUUUUGCUGGUUACGCCGCACUUAACGCAGGCAAGAACUUUUCUGAGGACUCUAGCAACAGGUAUUCCCGAAUAUGGCUUUUUAAUAAACCCUAAUAAGACAGUCGUGAAUUUUCCUGUUGAUGAUAUCCCAGGAUGUUCCAAAUUUAAACAGCUACCAGAUUGUCGUUUGAUCCCGUGGUGUGGUUUAUUAUUAGAUAUACAGACACUUGAGGUUUACUGCGAUUACUCCAGUUAUACUGGUACUUCUAUCAGAUCAAGUCUUUCCUUCAAUUCAAGCAGAACAGCUGGGAAAAACAUGAAGUACAAACUGAUCACAGUCCUCAAACUGAAAUGCCAUUGUUUAUUUCUUGAUUUACAGAUCAACAGCCUUAGAACAGUUUUCAUUAACAUCUAUAAGAUAUUUUUACUUCAGGCUUACAGGUUCCAUGCAUGUGUUCUCCAACUUCCAUUUAACCAGCAAGUUAGAAACAAUCCUUAUUUCUUCCUAAGGAUUAUCUCUGAAACAGCAUCAUGCUGCUAUUCUAUCCUGAAAGCCAAAAAUGCAGGGAUUCCUCUAGGUAACAAAGGUGCAACUGGUGUUUUUCCAUCUGAGGCAGCAGAAUGGCUUUGCUAUCAUGCCUUCACUGUCAAACUGGCAAACCACAAGGUUGUUUACAAAUGCCUACUUAAGCCCCUAAAAAUAUGUAAAAUGCAGCUAUUCAGGAAGAUCCCAAAGGAUACUAUGGCACUACUGAAGACAGUGACAGAACCAUCUCUUUGUCAAGAUUUCAAAGCUAUCUUGGACUAACUGAUUAAGGGCAGGAAGGGAGAAAUUUGGCACUAGUCCCUCUAGAGGAAAUCAUAGCAUCCACAUGCUUCCAACAAGCCCAACCUUCUCCUCUGCUUCCUUUUGGAAGAGGAUUAUGGACACUGAAUCUCAAUUUGAGCCCUCCAGCCUCUGAAAGAAAAGGCAGAUGCUGUUCGUUCUUCAGUGCUUUGGGAGAAAGGACUGACUGCAGAGCCCAGCUCCAGGAGAGGACCAUGGUGUGGUGCCCAGCUGGAAGGAGAGGCCCACCCAGCCUUGAGGUGUACAGCAGUCACCACCAGCCAGUUUAAGGAGAACAGGUAGAACUUUUAAAGGAGCAGAAGAAAUCCUGCCCACAGACAUGAUAAAAUUGUUAUUCAUAUGUAAAAAAGAUGAUCUUGGUCAUGCAGACAAGAGUUGAGCAUGGUAUGCAGGCAUCACCCUAGGGACCCACAGUGAAGAGCAGGUGCCAGGGACUGCAGGAGCUCUCCUCAGGCAGCCAGCAGCCUGGUCAAGACCAAUACGCUCUGGAGAGCUGAGCAGGGUGGUCACAGGCUACUCUGCAAUACCUGUCCUGGAACCCUGAGAUCGCGCUCUGGCAUAGACAAGGGCAUUACUCCUUUUCAGGCUCCCAGCCUGACUUCCUUCCUGGCUGUAAUAUCUUAAGCCUUCCCUUUUCCUGCAUGGUCUCGGACUCUGUAGACAGAUGAAGGCAAAUGAAAGAGGAAAAGCGAAGACAGUCUGCUCAAACACUUGAAGCUUACUCUUUUCCAGAACAAACCCCCUUCUCCAUAGAAAGAGAAAGGAUACUGGAAAAAUAUCAAAUACCUAAUGGAGGUUCUGCACAAGGACAUCACAAAGCAGAGGAACAAGUCCUGUCACAUGCGAAGGCACAGCAAGCAUACAAGAGCACUUCAAAAUCAGGCUACCACUGUACGGACUAGGAGAAGAAGAAAUAAGAGCCAAUCAUUUCCCCUAAAGCCUGAUCAAAGGGAAGUGGAAGCCUUUUGUAAGAGAGACCUCCCCUGUGCUCCCUGGGAAAUAUUUCUUCCACUUGCUGAGGGUUGUUUGUCAUUGACAGCCAGGAAACCUGACAGGGUUACUUUCUUAAGCAUGAGCUACAUCUCCAUUUGCUACGUAGGAGGAGAGAAACAUGACAACAUGAAUAUUAGAAAUGUAAGAAGCAGAAGCAAGUGAGAGUGUGCCUAUGUUAGUGUUUGUGCUCAGAUCAGGACCGCUCUGUUGAAGCGAGUCUCAGUUGUCACCAAUUACUGCACUUUGGUUCUCAUCAUAGCAUGCAAUGGGACCUCAAGCACCAACCUCCCUUCAAGUGACAUUAAACUGAAAGUGCACAUAAAGCACUCCAGCCACAAACGGACAUUCAGUCAGACCAGGGGCUAGACUAGAGCUAGUCUGAAAUUAAAAGAAAAAAAAUCCUAAACUAUGUACAGCAUGGAUGUCAGGUCCUAAGCACCAACUAUUUCACUCUGCAGAUCUGUUCUUCUUGACUCAGUCUACUCGCUAACAAAGAUGCAACCCAAGACACCCCUUUAACUUCUGGUGAUUUCACAAUUCUUCACUAUAAUGAUUUGUUCCAUUUAUUGAACCCAGUAACCCAUUUUUUUGCAUCCUGGUCAAUGCCUUACUGAAGAGCUAGUGCAUUUGGUUUUAAUCCUUUCAUAAUUUUCCUUCUUGUAACAUAAUUCGUUGUUCUGUCAAAGAAUGAGCUGUUCCACUCUUCCCAACAUACCUUUUUUUUAAGAUAUUUUCUAGGUAUACAUGUCAUUUCUCUCAGAUUUUAUUUUCCUUCUGUGAAGACAAUUAGCUAGGCAACUGCUAAGUUGUAGUUCAAGUUCUAGUCUUAUAUUACAAAUGCCUAUGUUACAAACGUUUGUAAACCAUUGCCGGGGAAGUUAAUAAGAGCUCUCCCUGUUUAGUAGGAUUCUAAUGCUCAUACGUCUUUGUUUUCCUAGAAUAAAACUGUAUUUUCUAUUAAAGGUAUUUUUCAUUCAUCCUGUAGGAUCAGGUGCUAUAUGCAUAAUUUUUAUGACCCAUGUGUUAGGCAGGCAUAUCUAUACUAACGAUAAUCAGAGGUACAACGUUGCAGUAAGUUCCAGCUAAAAUAAUUAGGUUUUUUGAAGUAUAAUCAGAUGACUACAUAUGUGUAUAUGUAUAUAAUUUAUUUGAAUCUCAGUUUUAAGUGCCAAAAUAUAUACUAAGCCCCUUAGAAAUUUCUUUUACAGUUCCAGUUGCCUGGGAAUAUUGCUGUUUGUCUCCACUUACUGUGGCAAACAACCUUCAUAUCCAUUAGUCAUGCAAAGUAAAUAACUAACUUAACUCAGGCAAUAAAUCUGAAUAAUCAGUAACGACAGCAGGUGAUAGAUGUCAGCAAAACUGAUAUUAUAUUAGACCCAAGUUACUGAGUAACACUAAUGUGCGAUGAAUAAGGUUCAGAGGUCUGAUGAGAAGCAGCUGACAUGAAACAAAUACACAAGCACUUAAUUUUAUCUCUUGUUGUUUAAAAGAUUUAGAAAUGAGGAAAAAUACAUUGCCUAACUCUGAAACUUGUAAAAUUGUGGUUCACACUUCAGAAGCUAUUCAGCCUUAGAGUACGUCUAUGCCAUUUUCACACUAGGUUUUGUUGCACUCCUGGCUAUGGCUCAGGCACUGAGUCACAUCACUUCCCAGGGCUCCUCAAUCAUCACAACGCAUGUGGUCUAUCCCUUGUUCAUGUCCUUAGGUGCACACAGGCAGGAUUUAUGCUCCAGUACCCCUGCACCUCUAUUGGGAUUUUGCAUCUGAGUUGCUUGUUUUCAGAAAUGCAACCCCAAAUCACAUCACUGCCCGAAAUUAGCAGAGGAAAAUAACAACAUUAUAUACACAAGUAAACCAAAUAAUAGCUUCGUCUUCUUGGUAGUAUUUAUGACUCACUCAAAUUCUUCUAACACCUGCUUUCCAGGAUAAAUAUUCACAAAACCCAAAUAAUUUUGUCAGUACUUUGUUAUAUAGUCCAUCAUGUUGUUGAGUUCUUUGAACCCUUUCUUAAAAUGUGGUGACCAAACAUUGGCCAUAGAUCAGUAUGUUGACCUUUAUUCACUACUCUCUUGUGCAACUGUUUGCAGCACUGCGAGUAGCUAUAAAGCAUUACUGAGUCUACUGACUGUUUUAUACCAUUUUUCCACUGGUAAAAUUACUACUCGUAGGGCAGAAUAGUGACUCAACCUUUGUCCUUGUAGCAUUUCCCCAUGUUUAAUAUCUUUAAAACAACUCUAAAACCUAUCUGCUUUGUCCCUAGCAGUUGCUGUGGGAUGUAUCAGUGAUUGAGAAGAUCCAGGCUGGAUCAGCAUACUCUAUCUGCCUGGCCAGCUGUGAGCAUCUUCCAUGUUGUGCAUGAUACAUGAGCAAACAGACUAUCUGAGGCACUGUGCUGUCCAUAAGGAAGGUCAGCUCUGGUCUCUUUGCACUCAGACUCACACUUUUCCUAUGAUAGUAGAGGUUUGUUGGGCAAGGAUGCAAGGGACCCCUGGAGGGAGGGAUAGAGGGGACAGAUCAAACCCCAGCAGGAGGAGAAUAUUGCUGUACUUGUCAGUGAAGCUGGAAUCUGAAAAGGUUGGAAAACAGCUAGCUAAGGCUAGUCCCCUUCCUCCAGCACUGAGAAGUGACCCAUGGUGCUUCAUGGGAAGGUAUGAGAACCUUUUAACAGGCCACAGACCAAUGUUUCAUCUUAAUCCUUAAUAGAGAUUUCUGCAAACCCCAAAGCACAAUGUUCUGGGAAUCUCCCACAGCUUGUGGCACCAGAAGCACCUCUGUGCAAUGAGAUUGACAGAGGAUCUGCUUGCAGAGGACCUUGUGUUAGUUAUUAAUUAUGUUACAUUAUGUUAAUUAUAUUAUGCUGCUUGUUAAUUAUACUGAAUGUUCCCAUGCUCCAAGAUAAGAAGAACAGUAUAGUUUCUGUUUUAAUUCUGUGUCUUUCUUUUUUUUUUCAUAACUUUUCUGCCCCUUCUUAUCCUUCUCAUUCAUUUCAUUCUCUCUUAAAAAUUUCUGUCUGUCCCUAAACAUUUGAUGGAGAUGUAUGGGUGUGCCAGACUGGAUACACCUUAGCUUGGACAAAUAGAAAACGUUGGACCACAGGAACAAGGUGAGUAGAAAAGCUAUGAUCAUUCCAGCUGAGAUGAGUGUCUGAAAUUGAACACAAAGCAAAUUCUGUGACCUCCCUCGGUUUGACAAUAGCUAUUUGUGAGAGUUGACCAGUAACAGGCAUAGCAUGCCACCAUUUUGUCUGGUGUCAUUAUAAUAUUUUUCCAUAGUCCUCACCAUCUUAUGCAUUCUUUAGCUCAGUUUAAGUUUUGAACUUUCUGUAGAGCUCCCGAGAUUUCUUUCCUGGCUUGAUGUAAAGACAGAUGCCUAGAAAGUGUAGGAUAUAUGUUUUUGUCUCAAUAUAUGUAGCUUUGCCUGAUCUGAUUGAACCAUACACAUAUAACUGUAUUGUCCAUUGACUGAGCUGGAUAUGCUCCCCCAGAAGUUCCUUACAGAUCCCUUUGCAUUCCCUUUUGUACCAUUCUCUGUUGCUUUGCUCCCUUCAGAUCAUUCAAAAACGUGCUAGCACAGGGUUUAGCAUGGCACCAUGCAGCUUUCUUUUUGCUUGCAUUCAGCACAGGUAAUUUCAUCAGUCUUCAUUUCCUAGAGCUGAGUGAGCAACAGGACUGUACUUUGUUUUACCCUCAGUAAUUGUUUAGAGGAGGGUCAAAAAGCACUUAGGCAGCUAAAGUGGAAUAAAACUGGAAUUCAGUUCUCCAAAAACAAAAUCCUGAAAACUCUGUAGAAGUGCUGGCUGCUCCUGAGAGAUCCUAUGGUUUAUGGCUUUGGCUUUGACAUAAAAUUUCUCCAGGCACCCAAGGCUGCAUCUCUGGGCAUGUUGGGCUCCAUUCAGUUGCCUAAAUUUGAAGGCCAUUUGAGAUGCUCUAGGGUAUUUGUCUGACCUUCAGCUCCUGCUCCAGAAGAACACCUUUGUUGCAGGUCCCAUGCCAUUUAUGCUAUGUGGAUGUCUCCCUAAAGGCAUUUAUCCUGUCUCAUGGAUGCAUAUAUCAUUAAAUAAAGUGACAGACUUUUUCCAGCCAUUCCAAUGGGAAAAUGCAGAGAAAAAGUGUAUGCAGCUAUGAGUUUCUAACUACCUGGUUAUGGCACUCAUCUGAGAGAGUUUCAUGAAGUUUCACAUCUUGCUGCAAAUAAAAGGUGUAAAACAUGAAGUCUUCUGGGAGCAAGCUGAUCUGUUGCUUCUUGUCCUUUCUUAUUUGAAUUUGUCUACUUGUAGCUUCCAGCUGUUAUAUGUUUACUGUUAAAGCGCUCCUUACAAUCAAAAUCAUUUCCAUUUUCUUAUUUAUAGGCUAUGAUAAACGUAUGCUUUAAUUUUCAAUUUCCUGAGCUAAAUGGAUUGAAUUCUCAAGUCUUUUCUUGUACCAUAAGUCUUCCAUACCUCGAAUAAUUCUUGUGCUGUUAUGCUUUUUUUCUCAUUUUUCAACUUGCUUUUGAAAGGCGGGCACAGAAACAGGCUUACUAAUGGUGCAAUGCAUCCAUCUGUUUCCUGUUCCUCUGCUCAUAUACGCCAGGAUUCUUUUUAUCCUACAACCUCUUAUAUUUAAUUCAAUCAGUCACUCACUAGACUCCCUGUGUGGCUACUUCUUUCUAAAAUGCUUCCACCUGUUAAAAAUACAGAUAGCUUGGUAGAACAGUCUUGGAUUUAACCAAGUUUCCUGUCAUUUGUAGGUUUCUCCAGGUUUGGAUUUUAUACUUCUCCAGUUAAUUGAAAAAUAAUGAAUCACACUGGGCCAAAACAGUUUGCUAUAUGAUCCUGCUUUAGCCAGUUUAUCAUAGCAGAUCUCAAAAGCUACUGUAAAUGGUGACCUAUCGAUUAAUCUUUUCUGAUCCAUUUACAUUGCUAAGUUGCUUCUAAAGCAAUUUUUUGCCAGAAUAUUUUAUGAUGCUAAGUGAAUGGCUUAGGCAGCAUCACCUUGCAUUUUCAUGUUUAUAUUGUAUCAGCUAGGCUUUUAAAAUAUCUUCACAGUAAUAGUAAGGUACGGUUUAGUUUUGUUCAGUGACAGUUCUAGAUUAUUGGGUAACUUCUAAAAGCAUCAGAGAAAGGAGGGAAAUGACCUUUCCAGUUUCCUAAAAGGAGAUUCAGAUUUCAUUUAUUUGGGGAACUGCUUCACUGAGUCCUUGGCAGGACUUCUCCCUUUUCCGUAAGCUAAUAAGCUGUAAGCUCAGUUCCCUCCUCCCACCAGAACUGCAAUAGUGCUGUAAGAACUUUAACACUGGUUUUCCUGAAACUUAUCAUCCAUUUGGUCUUAUUUCCUAAGCAAAAGUAUCAUUUUAAAAUGGAAUAUAUUCAUAUAGGAAAAGCUAAUCUAUCUGGCGAAAAAGUUUUUGCAAAACAUUUAUGAGAAUUCAAAAGUCAAACAAUAAUGUGAUCUAAAUGUGCAACUUCCAUGCCCAUCAUAAAUUAGUUUAGUUAUAUUAGAAUUGUAGUUCAAUAUUUUGGCAAAGUCCCAUUUCAGUCUUACCGCCUCCAUGUAUCUGACACAAGUAUGGAAAUCGCCACACAUUCCCCAAACCGACAGCAAAUCCGAUACAGCUUAAAAUGUACUGGAACUUAUUGUCCCACUUUGGUCUGCCAUCUUCUUUAAGGCUUUCAGGUGACACAUCAACUGAUAAAUCUUUUGACAUGCUUAUGAAAUAUCCUUGGCUCUCUGGUCCCUUUCUUUAUAUACAGGGAGAUAUGUAUGAUUCACAACCUGUGUCUUUUAUGCAAGGUGACUAAAGGAUUCUGGAAAAAGAGGUGGAGCUUUCUUUUUAUGUUAUGCAAAGGAAUGUGUCAUUGUAAAAGCUGCAGUUUAAAGACAAAACCAGGAAUUAUUAUUAUAUGGACAAAGUUACCACUCUCAACUUUUUGCAGUUCCUCCUAUAAUUAGAGACCUGGGGAAUAUGUUGUUAAUCGGUAACUCAGGUUCAAACAGAUUUUUAUUUUCUAUUUUCUUAUGUUUUCAGAUACUUUCAAAGAUUUGUGCUAUGGGUAAUAAUAAUAAUAGUAACAAUUAUAAUAAAACCCUUUACAGCAAUCAUACUUGUUAAAAUUGUAAAAUGCUUUUUUUAAAAAUAGAAAAAUCUGCAAAUAAAGGAAGUGUUCCCAUUUCCUUUGUUACUUAGUUAAUAGAGUUAAAUGAUUGAAGACAUCUUCUGUACAUUCAUAAAAUAAAAGAAUGCAAUAAAAAUUCAUAUUAAUCAAAUGUAUCUGUUACUGCAUUAAACUGUCUUCCAUGCCUUGUAUUGCUUCAUAAUGGUCAUUGGUUAUAUUAAAGCUUCACUAAGAGCCUGAUAAAGGUAUAUUUUUA